rnacentral:lncRNA from 1 species
GAAAGAAUAAAUUAAGAAUUUUAAAACUAUAUAUAAGCAAAGUCUUACUAUCUUUUGCUCAUAGUAGUACUACAUAUUAUAGGAAAUGACGCCGCUUAAGCGUCUGCUUUUUCAAUGUAAUGAUGGCUGCAGAUUGCCAAUGAGGCCUCAAUCUAUUCAAAACAUUAAAAUUUAAUUCUUAAAAAAUAUAUUGUGUAUGAAUUGUAAAAUUUCAAGUAAGAAUAUAACCAUGACGUCAGGGGUGGGAAAGUAAACUUUGACGGAAGAGUACGGGAAACCCCCAGGUACUUAGUUUGUAGCUCGAAGGAUAAAUGAUGACGAUGGUUGCACCAAAUGCAAAAAUCUAGCGAUAAAAUGUUCGAAAAUCAGUGCUAAAUUUACAGAAUUACAACUUUGAUGUUGAUGGUGCUGUCGGAGUAGCCGCCUCGAAGAAAGAAAAGCAUUGCUGGAGCUACAUAUUUCAAAAUUCCUCCAUAGAACAGACGUUAACAUUUCAAAACAAUUCAAAGCUUUAGGUUUAAUGUAUUUAUCCCAAACCAUUGAAACUAUAUUACCCAAAUUUGCACAGGACAAAUCAUUUCGAUACCUCUUGCGAUAAUGCAACUAAAUGCGUCAAAGAAAUUAGAUUUCAUAUUCGGGAUGGUACGAGGUGGCUGAUGGGAAAAUUGAACAACAGGAAUGGCACCGCUCAUGUUUAAGUGAAAUAACAUAUACAUAUAUCUCGGUAUCCACUCGACCAAUUUCUUCCGUAUUUGGUACAUAGUAUUAUUUUAUCAUGUUAAAGUGCGAAAAUGGGCGAAAUUAAACUGCAAUCACGCCUAUAUCC